UCUGACAACAGCAGACUUAAAACUAUCAUUUCUCUUCAAACUGCAUUGAGAAUGAUCAUUGAGCCAAACUGCUACUCUGAAACCAGUACACCAAUAUUUUCAGACCUCUGACUACCAAGAAACCAAAGCAGGAGGAUUAAUUGACUCACCUAAGACUCCAGAAUAAAUCAGAUCAUGGAUGAGUCUAUCUGAGUUCCUGACUAAUGUCUCACAACAACAAAACUGGUACCUCCUUCUUAUGAAAAAAACAGUGGCAAAAAAGUGCUUUAUUUGAAUCAUCUUCUUGGUCUUUUAUUUAAUAAAUUUGUUUUUGCAGGUAAAAUGAUUCAUGUCCAGGUUUCUGGGAUAUUUUUCAUCUCCAGUUGAUAUGCUAUUUUUAAGUUUUGACUUCAUAUUAAUAAAGUUAAUUUACAGA